AUUGAACGCUAGCGGGAUGCCUUACACAUGCAAGUCGAACGGAGUGGCGAACGGGUGAGUAAUGUAUCGGAACGUGCCCAGUAGCGGGGGAUAACUACGCGAAAGCGUAGCUAAUACCGCAUACUAUUGGAGCGGCCGAUAUCGGAUUAGCUAGUUGGGGGGGUAACGGCUCACCAAGGCGACGAUCCGUAGCUGGUUUGAGAGGACGACCAGCCACAAUGGGAUUGAAACACGGCCCCGGCGCCUGAGGGAGGGAGCAGGGGGGAAUUUUGGAAAAUGGGGGAAACCCUGAUCCAGCCAUCCCGCGUGUGCGAUGGAGGCGUUCGGGUUGUAAAGCACUGUUGACAGGAGAGCGGUACCUGCAGAAUAAGCACCGGCUAACUACGUGCCAGCCGCCGCGGUAAUUC
rnacentral:rRNA from 1 species